UACGAAGGAUGCAAGCGUUAUCCGGAUUCAUUGGGCUUAAAGGGCGCGUAGGCGGAUUGGUAAGUCAGUGGUGAAAUCUUUGGGCUUAACCCAGAAACUGCCAUUGAUACUGCUGAUCUAGAGUACAGUUGCCGUUGGCGGAAUAUGACAUGUAGUGGUGAAAUACUUAGAUAUGUCAUAGAACACCGAUUGCGAAGGCAGCUAACGAAGCUGUAACUGACGCUGAGGCUCGAAAGUGCGGGGAUCAAACAGG
rnacentral:rRNA from 1 species